rnacentral:rRNA from 1 species
CUACGGGAGGCACCAGUGAGGAAUAUUGCACAAUGGGGGGAACCCUGAUGCAGCAACGCCGCGUGGAGGAUGACGCAUUUCGAUGUGUAAACUCCUUUUAUAUGUCAAGAAAAUGACGGUAGCAUAUGAAUAAGCACCGGCUAACUCCGUGCCAGCAGCCGCGGUAAUACGGAGGGUGCAAGCGUUACUCGGAAUCGCGGGGCGUAAAGGACGCGUAGGCGGGUUGGAAAGUCAGGUGUGAAAUCCUACAGCUUAACUGUAGAACUGCACUUGAAACUUCUAAUCUAGAGUAUGGGAGGGGGAGAUGGAAUUAGUGGUGUAGGGGUAAAAGCCGUAGAUAUCACUAGGAAUACCUAAAGCGAAGGCGAUCUCCUGGAACAUUACUGACGCUAAGGCGUGAAAGCGUGGGGAGCAAACAGGAUUAGAUACCCCGGUAGUC